rnacentral:tRNA from 1 species
GCGGAAGUGGCGGAAUGGCAGACGCGCUAGCUUCAGGAGCUAGUGGGGAAACCCAUGAGGGUUCAACUCCCUCCUUCCGCA